rnacentral:rRNA from 1 species
AUUGAACGCUGGCGGCAGGCCUAACACAUGCAAGUCGAGCGGAUGAGUGGAGCUUGCUCCAUGAUUCAGCGGCGGACGGGUGAGUAAUGCCUAGGAAUCUGCCUGGUAGUGGGGGACAACGUUUCGAAAGGAACGCUAAUACCGCAUACGUCCUACGGGAGACAGUGGGGGAUCUUCGGACCUCACGCUAUCAGAUGAGCUUAGGUCGGAUUAGCUAGUUGGUUAGGUAAAGGCUAACCAAGGCGACGAUCCGUAACUGGGCUGAGAGGAUGAUCAGUCACACUGGAACUGAGACACGGUCCAGACUCCUACGGGAGGCAGCAGUGGGGAAUGUUGGACAAUGGGCGAAAGCCUGAUCCAGCCAUGCCGCGUGUGUGAAGAAGGUCUUCGGAUUGUAAAGCACUUUAAGUUGGGAGGAAGGGCAGUAAGUUAAUACCUUGCUGUUUUGACGUUACCAACAGAAUAAGCACCGGCUAACUUCGUGCCAGCCGCCGCCGUAACAC